AUUGAACGCUGGCGGCAGGCCUAACACAUGCAAGUCGAACGAGUGGCGGACGGGGGAGUAAGGGCGGGGAACAUGCCUGAUGGAGGGGGAAGACUGCGGGAAACGGUAGCUAAUACCGCUUACCACAAUAUGGGCCCAGAGGGGAGGAGCUUGUUGGGGGGGUAACGGCUCACCAAGGCGACGCUCCCUAGCUGGUCUGAGAGGUUGACCAUCCAACCUGGAACUGAGACACGGUCCAGCCUCCUACGGGAGGCAGCAGUGGUGAAUAUUGCCCAAUGGGCGCAAGCCUGACGCAGCCAGGCCGCGUGUGUGAAGAAGGCUUUCGGGUUGUAAAGUACUUUCAGCGGGGAGGCGUUACCCACCGAAAAAGCGACGGCUAACUCCGUGCCAGCAGCCGCGGUAAUUC
rnacentral:rRNA from 1 species